rnacentral:rRNA from 1 species
UACAGAGGGGGCAAGCGUUGUUCGGAAUUACUGGGCGUAAAGGGCGCGUAGGCGGCCUGCUAAGUCGAACGUGAAAUCCCCGGGCUCAACCCGGGAACUGCGUCCGAUACUGGUUGGCUUGAAUCCGGGAGAGGGAUGCGGAAUUCCUGGUGUAGCGGUGAAAUGCGCAGAUAUCAGGAAGAACACCCGUGGCUAAGGCGGUUCUCUAGUACGGUACUGACGCUGAGACGCGAAAGCGUGGGGAGCGAACAGG